GACAGAGGGUGCGAACGUUGUUCGGAAUUACUGGGCGUAAAGCGCGUGUAGGCGGCAGCGUAAGUCGGGCGUGAAAUCCCACGGCUCAACCGUGGAAGUGCACUCGAAACUGCGCAGCUAGAGUCCUGGAGAGGAAGGUGGAAUGCUUGGUGUAGAGGUGAAAUUCGUAGAUAUCAAGCGGAACACCGGUGGCGAAGGCGGGUCUCUGGGCAACAACUGACGCUGAGGAGCGAAAGCGUGGGGAGCGAACAGG
rnacentral:rRNA from 1 species